GUACUGACAUUGUUAUUUUUAUAUUGUUAUUGUCAAAAAGAUUUAAAGGCAGGCGAAACAUUUUUUCAAGAAAAAACAAAGUGCAAAUGACAAACUUGACAUCUAAACUAUGUUGGCUUCCCAUUAUUAUAAUCUAUAAUUUGCAGCACUCUAAAAUUAUUAUAAAUAAAUAAAUGAAAAAUGAAAAUUACAAAUAUUGAGGGGACUAGACCAAAACCUAAUAAAAGUUAACCAAGUGAUUUUAGAAUGUCCCUUGUUAACCUAUUGGGAUAAAACCCGAGUACGGGAAAAAGGUACAUAACAACUAAACAACAUAAAGGCAACAUAAACAUAAAUCAAAGUGCAUAGGAUAUGACAUGAAAAUAAAUUAUAUGUAACAUAUAAUUAUUUUACAUAUUAAUGGUUAAUAAUCCAACCACAAACAAAAUAAGUUAACGCACAACAAGUAUUGUUCAGGAAUGUUACACCCAAUUUUGUGGUUAUUUACUCGACAAUGAAUGUGACUGUUGCAUGAAACAAACACUGCAAUGUAAAAUAACAUUAAAGUAUUUUUAUUAAAAGAGUAUGAAAUAUUGUGUCUAAUAUAAAUAAGAAAAUGAGAAAAUAAUGUCGAAAAUUACUUACCGCCAUUGGUUACAUGGAGAUAUGUAUAAAGGAAGAUUAUCAGAGCAAAAAAAACUUUGAAAUGUGAGUCAUUGUUUUGAAAAAUUUUAAAGAGAUCGUUUUUGUAAAAUGAUAUGAACUUGGCGUGAUUUUGUGAUUUCAUGGAAUUGGCCUAGGAUACUUGUAUGCCUAAGAUACAAUGGAUUAACCAUUUUAUAAGUAAAAGUUUAUUGCUUGAAUUGACAUCAAUUAAAUAAAUUAAAGCUAUUGUUAAAUGGCUCUAAGGUAUAUCAGUGUGCCAAGUUUAUCCUUUAGCGCACUCAAUUAACCAGUUAAGCAUAAUAAAGAUCUCAAAUAAAAAAAAAUUAAGCCCAUAAAAAAUUUAGUAGAUUUUUUUAUUUUUUAGCCUAUCAUGAUAGAGAGGGGACAAAAUACCCAAAGAUAAAUAAUGGCAAGGUAAUUAAAAUCGGAUCGAACCAUCUGGUUUAACUAGUUGAACCGGGAACCGGACCUAUGUCUGGUCUGAAAUAAAAAGAAAACGGGUGUUGCAACGAACCGGGAAACCAGAUAAUAAAGAUUUGUUGUGCAUAAAAAUUAAAUAACAGUAAAUAAAUAUUGUUUGGAAAAGUUAUGGAGAGAGAUGAGACUAGGUCUUCCGAAUCAUUUGAUUUUCCUUAAUUGGUACACUACACCUACUUCUCAUGAAUAUUUUUUUAGUUUUAUGAUGAUUAACUAAAAUAGCCCUAAUCAAUCCCUUGACUUAGGACCCUCUUCUCAGAUUACAACCCCUAAAUCCUUAGGUGAUCUAAUAUUCUUUGAAGGUUUGAAGAAUGUUAACCUAAUAUCACAAAUACUUGAUUGAGGUGUAUUGUUUUGAAAAAUGUCAAAAAGAUUGUUUUUGUAAAAUGAUACGAACUUGGCGUGAUUUUGUGAUUUCUUGGAAUUGGCCUUGAAUACUUGUCUGCCUAAGCUACUAUGGAUUAACCAUUUUAUAAGUAAAAGUUUAUUGCUUUACCAACAUCAAUUAAAUAUAUUUUAACACUAAAGAGGUGAAAAAUUGUUUACUAUAUUAAAGUUAUUGUUAAAUGGCUCUAAGGUAUAUCAGUGUGCCAAGUUUAUCCUUUGGCGCACUCAAUUAACCAUUUAAGCAUAAUAAGGAUCUCAAAUAAAAAAUUUAAACCCGGCAAAAAUUUAGUAGAUUUUUUAUUUUUUAGCCUAUCAUGAUAGAGAGGGGACAAAAUACCCAAAUAUAAAUAAUGGCAAGGUAAUUAAAAUCGGAUCGAACCAUCUGGUUUGACUCGUUGAACUAGGAACCAGAACUAUGUCUGGUCUGAAAUACAAAGAAAACUGGUGUCGCAACGAACCGGGAAACCAGAUAAAAACUGGAUGAACCGGGAAAACCAGCGGGCUACACGGUUUGGCAGGUUGAACCGCAUUUUACAAUUUUUUUGAAAAAAAAUCUCAAACCAGAUUUGUUAUGCCAUAAGUCUGAACUAAGAAAAGUUAUGGUGGUUUUAUAGCAAGAAGACAUAAAUCUAAGUAGAAUAAAAAUAUAGAGGAGACCAUGAAAUGGAGAUCUUGGAGAAAAAACGAAAAGGAUAAUCAUAGUUGGUGGGUUGCGUUGCUGCUAUUUAGAAAUUAGGGUUAGUGUGACAUUUAUACUUAUAAUAACUGAUAGACUUUUAGAAGGUGUACUAAAACUAUUGAACUAAUACAAUUAAUGUUGUUUCCAUGAGAACAAUAUUAAUCUCAAGUAAACGAUAGCAUUAUGAAAUAGGAUGUGUAAAGUUAUUUAGUGCCUGAGACAGUAGAUUUGUUGUGCAUAAAAAUUAAAUAACAGAAAAUAAAGAUUGUUUGGAAAAGUUAUGGAGAGAGAUGAGACUAGGUCUUUCGAAUACUUUGAUUUCCCCUAAUUGAUACACUACACCUAUUUCUCAUGAAUAUUUCUCUAGUUUUACGAUGAUUAACUAAAAUAGCUCUAAUCAAUCCCUUGACUUAGGACCCUCUUCUCAGAUUACGAUCCCUAAUUCCUUAGGUGAUCUAAUAUACUUUAAAGGUUUGAAUAACGUUAACCUAAUAUCACAAAUACUUGAUUGAGGUGUAUUGUUUUGAAAAAUGUCAAAAAGAUCGUUUUUGUAAAAUGAUACGAACUUGGCGUGAUUUUGUGAUUUCUUGGAAUUGGCCUAGGAUACUUGUAUGCCUAAGCUACUAUGGAUUAACCAUUUUAUAAGUAAAAGUUUAUUUCUCUAUUGACAUCAAUUAAAUAUAUUUUAACACUAAAGAGGUGAAAAGUUGUUUAUUAAAUUAAAGUUAUUGUUAAAUGGCUCUAAGGUAUAAUAAUGUGUCAAGUUUAUCCUUUAGCGCACUCAAUUAACAAGUUAAGCAUAAUAAAGAUCUCAAAUAAAAAAAUUUAAGCCCGUCAAAAAUUUAGUAGAUUUUUUUUAUUUUUUAGCCUAUCAUGAUUGAGAGGGGACAAGAUACCCAAAUAUAAAUAAUGGCAAGGUAAUUAAAAUCGGAUCGGACCAUCUGGUUUGACUAGUUGAACCGGGAACUGGAACUAUGUCUGGUCUGAAAUACAAAGAAAAUUGGUGUCGCAACGAACCAGGAAACCAGAUGAACCGGGAAAACCGGCGGGCUACACAGUUUUGCAGGUUGAACUGCAUUUUUAAAAUUUUUUGAAAAAAUAACUCAAACCAGAUUUGUUAUGUCAUAAGUCUGAACUAAGAAAAGAUAUGGUGGUUUUAUAGCAAAAGGACAUAAAUCUAAGUAGAAUACAAAUACAGAUGAGACCCUGAAAUGGAGAUCUUGGAGAAAAAAUGAAAAGGAUAAUUGUAACGCCCUAUUUUAAUAUUUAUUUAUUUUAUUGAGUUUAGGUGUCUUUCCAUAAUUUAGUCGAUUUAUUCUGAUGGGUGAUAUUUUGUUAUGUUAUAUGUUGGUAUUUAUUAGUAUAAUAUAUAUGUUAUUUGGUGUAGAAAUAUAUAUAUAUUAUCUGGUGUAGAAAUAUAUAUGUUAUUUGGUGUAGAAAUAUAUAUAUUAUCUUGUGUAGAAAUAUAUAUGUUAUGUGGUGUAGAAAUAUUAUGUUAUUUGGUGUAGAAAUAUAUGUUAUCUGGUGUAGAAAUAUAUUUCUUAUUUGGUGUAGAAAUAUAUAUAUAUAUAUAUAUAUAUAUAUAUAUAUAUAUAUAUAUAUAUAUAUAUGAGGGCAAAUUUAGAAAUAAGAGAACAUAAGUAGGUUAAUGAUUUUUAUAAAAGGGCAGAUUUGGAAAUAAGAGAAAAUAAGUAGGUUAAUGAAAGUUAGAAUUAGAAAAUAAGGAU
rnacentral:lncRNA from 1 species